UGUGGGAGCGGGCUUGCUCGCGAUAACGGUGUGUCAGUCAACAUAAAUGCCAUCUGAUACACCGUUAUCGCGAGCAAGCCCGCUCCCACA
rnacentral:misc_RNA from 1 species